GAUGAACGCUAGCGGCAGGCUUAAUACAUGCAAGACGAACGGUAAGUGUUGUAGCAAUAUAGCACGAGAGUGUCGUACGGGUGCGUAACACGUAUGCAACCGUACCUUGUACAGGAGGAUAGCUCGGGGAAACUCGAAUUAACCCUCCAUAAUAUAUUUGAAUGGUCAUCAUUUGAAGUAUUAAAACCUUGGUGGUACAAGAUGGGCAUGCGUCUGAUUAGUUAGUUGGAG
rnacentral:rRNA from 1 species